rnacentral:rRNA from 1 species
CUUAGUAACGGCGAGUGAAGCGGCAACAGCUCAAAUUUGAAAUCUGGCUCCUUCGGGGUCCGAGUUGUAAUUUGCAGAGGAUGCUUCGAGUUAUGGUUCCUUCCGAGUUCCCUGGAACGGGACGCCAUAGAGGGUGAGAGCCCCGUCUGGUAGGAAACCAUGCUCAUGUGAAGCUCCCUCGACGAGUCGAGUAGUUUGGGAAUGCUGCUCUAAGGGGAGGUAUACUCCUUCCAAGGCUAAAUACCGGCUAGAGACCGAUAGCGCACAAGUAGAGUGAUCGAAAGAUGAAAAGUACUUUGAAAAGAGAGUCAAACAGCACGUGAAAUUGUUAAAAGGGAAGCGCUCGCUACCAGACGUGGGUUCGGUGGUUCAACCAGGUCCAUGACCUGGGGCACUCCGCCGGCCCAGGCCAGCAUCAGCUUUCCGUCGGGGGCAAAGGCGUCGGGAAUGUGGCUCUCCUUCGGGGGAGUGUUAUAGCCCGUCGCGUCAUACCCUUCGGGGGGCUGAGGUACGCGCUCCGCAAGGAUGCUGGCGUAAUGGUAGCUAGUGACCCGUCUUGAAACACGGACCACGGAGUCUACCUUAUGUGCGAGUGCCCCGGGCGUAAAAACCCCAGCGCGGGAAUGAAAAGUUAACGUUAGGUCAAGAGCUUCCGGCGCAUUCACCGUACCGAUCCCUGCAUGUACCUCGGGACGGAAUUUUGAGUGAAGAGCAUUAUAGGGGUUGGGACCCCCAAAGAAGGAUCCAACUAUUGCGUAGUGUACGGGUGGAAGCCUAGAAGA